rnacentral:rRNA from 1 species
AUUGAACGCUGGCGGCAGGCCUAACACAUGCAAGUCGAACGAGUGGCGGACGGGUGAGUAAUGUCUGGGCAACUGCCUGAUGGAGGGGGAUAACUACUGGAAACGGUAGCUAAUACCGCAUACCAUCGGAUGUGCCCAGAUGGGAUUGGCUAGUAGGUGGGGUAACGGCUCACCUAGGCCACGAUCCCUAGCUGGUCUGCGAGGCUGACCAGCCACACUGGAACUGGGACACGGUCCAGACGCAUACGUGAGGCAGCAGUGGGGAAUAGUGGACAAUGGGCGCAAGCCUGAUGCAGCCAUGCCGCGUGUAGGAAGAAGGCCUUCGGGUUGUAAAGUACUUUCGGCGGGGAGGCGUUACCCGCAGAAGAAGCACCGGCUAACUCCGUGCCAGCCGCCGCGGUAAUUC